rnacentral:rRNA from 1 species
AGAGCGGCGUACGGGUGCGGAACACGUGUGCAACUGCCUUUAUCUGGGGGAUAGCCUUUCGAAAGGAAGAUUAAUACCCCAUAAUAUGUUGGAUGGCAUCAUUCAACAUUGAAAACUCCGGUGGAUAGAGAUGGGCACGCGCAAGAUUAGAUAGUUGGUGAGGUAACGGCUCACCAAGUCUACGAUCUUUAGGGGGGCCUGAGAGGGUGAUCCCCCACACUGGUACUGAGACAUGGACCAGACUCAUACGGGAGGCAGCAGUGAGGAAUAUUGGACAAUGGGUGAGAGCCUGAUCCAGCCAUCCCGCGUGAAGGACGACUGCCCUAUGGGUUGUAAACUUCUUUUGUAUAGGGAUAAACCUACCCUCGUGAGGGUAGCUGAAGGUACUAUACGAAUAAGCACCGGCUAACUCCGUGCCAGCAGCCGCGGUAAAUACGGAGGGUGCAGGCGUUAUCCCGGAUUAUUGGGUUUAAACAGGGUCCGUAGGCGGAUCCGUAAGUCAGUGGUGAAAUCUCACAGGUUUAAUUGGUGAAAAUUGCAUUGAUAUUGGAGGUCUUGAGUGUUGUUGAAGUAGCUGGGAAUAAGUUAGUUGUAGGGUGA